AUCCAACUGAUCAGUCUCAAAUAGGACGAAAUGUGCAUCCUUGAU
rnacentral:hammerhead_ribozyme from 1 species